rnacentral:rRNA from 1 species
UGGGGAAUAUUGCACAAUGGGCGAAAGCCUGAUGCAGCAACGCCGCGUGAGUGAUGAAGGCCUUCGGGUUGUAAAGCUCUGUCUUUUGGGACGAUAAUGACGGUACCAAAGGAGGAAGCCACGGCUAACUACGUGCCAGCAGCCGCGGUAAUACGUAGGUGGCAAGCGUUGUCCGGAUUUACUGGGCGUAAAGGAUGCGUAGGCGGAUUUUUAAGUGAGAUGUGAGAUACCCGGGCUUAACUUGGGUGCUGCAUUUCAAACUGGGAAUCUAGAGUGCGGGAGAGGAGAAUGGAAUUCCUAGUGUAGCGGUGAAAUGCGUAGAGAUUAGGAAGAACACCAGUGGCGAAGGCGAUUCUCUGGACCGUAACUGACGCUGAGGCGUGAAAGCGUGGGUAGCAAACAGGAUUAGAUACCCUGGUAGUCCACGCCGUAAACGAUGAGUACUAGGUGUAGGAGGUAUCGACCCCUUCUGUGCCGCAGUUAACACAAUAAGUACUCCGCCUGGGAAGUACGAUCGCAAGAUUAAAACUCAAAGGAAUUGACGGGGUCAUAGCUGUUUCC